AGGGAAAAUUAAGUGGCCAGCAGCUGCCGAAUUAAUAUGUUCUUGUAAUCUAUUUUUUAUUUACAGAUGCACAUUCCCAUCAGAUGGGAUUUGAGCAGAAUGCAUUUUUACAACAAAAACCAAAGCAGCCCAAUUUUCGUGUUUGCACACAGAUGGGUUACUCUGUGUUUCCUUGGACAAUUUGGAGUGUGUCUUCUCCCAACACAGCCCAGAUGCUUGUUUGUAAUGCUGAGCUUCCGGCCUCGGGGCUAAGGCUUGGGAGCACCUUGGAAAAGCAGACCCUUGCUUUUGGUCAAGAAGGCAGCAAGUUCACCAACAAAGUCACACUAGAUUUCUAUGUAUAUCUCAAUCUCAUGAAGUUUUCACAGAGAUGGGAAAAGAAGACAUUUAGAUUUUAUUGCCAGUCUCUGAGGAGUGGAAGAGAAAAAAGUGUGUUAGUACACUUUUUUUCUGAGUGCCUCAUCCUGAAAUGGAGGAGACUCUUGAUUCCCAAAGGCUACUUAGAAGAGCAUGCAUGGAUUUUGGUGGGUGCUAUGAAGAUGGAAACACUUCAAGAAAAAGUCUAGUGAUUACCAAGGACCAGGAUAGGCAAGUUUGUGUUAAAGUUAUUACUAAAGAGGCUGGCCAAUGAAUUUUCGUUUUUCAUGGGAUAGGUAACAUCCCCCGAACAUAUACCAUUUUGAAAUAAAUUGAAAAAUUGUAUUGGUCCCA
rnacentral:lncRNA from 1 species